UACGGGGGGGGCGAGCGUUGUUCGGAAUCACUGGGCGUAAAGGGCGCGUAGGCGGCCCGCACAAGUCUGCGGUGAAAACCUCCGGCUUAACCGGGGGCCGGCCGUGGAAACUGUCGGGCUGGAGGCUGGGAGAGGGCAGCGGAAUUCCCGGUGUAGCGGUGAAAUGCGUAGAUAUCGUAAGGAAGACCAGUGGCGAAGGCGGGUCUCUGGACAGUUCCUGACGCUGAGGCACGAAGGUCAGGGGAGCAAACGGG
rnacentral:rRNA from 1 species